AAAAAGUAUAGAGGUUGCGACCAACAACAGUAAUUAGUAGAGCUACUGCUUUAGCUGAGAAACUAACGAAAGGGGCGGUCGCCGAAGCACUAAGCCUUGCAGGGCUCAGUAAGCUGGGACGUAGUUUAAUAGACUGCGGACUGUCGCAGCGGAUACGUCGGCUGCGGGGCGCUAUCGACAAA
rnacentral:ncRNA from 2 species